rnacentral:sRNA from 1 species
GCUGGGUGUGGUGGUGCACACCUAUAAUCCCAGCUUCUCAGGAGGUUGAGGAAGAAGGAUGGCAAAAUUGAAGCCAGCCUGGGCAACUUAGCAAGAUCCUGUCUCACAAU